rnacentral:rRNA from 1 species
GGGCAAGUCUGGUGCCAGCAGCCGCGGUAAUUCCAGCUCCAAUAGCGUAUAUUAAAGUUGUUGCAGUUAAAAAGCUCGUAGUUGAAUUUCGGGGUCAGCAAGUUGGUCGUGCCACCGGUAUGCACUGGCUUUACUGAUUCCUCCUUCUUGUAGAACCUUAAUGCCAUUAACUUGGUGUUGUGGGGAAACAGGACUGUUACUUUGAAAAAAUUAGAGUGUUUAAAGCAAGCUAACGCUUGAAUACAUUAGCAUGGAAUAAUGAAAUAGGACGAUCGAUCCUAUUUUGUUGGUUUCUAGGAUUGACGUAAUGAUUAAUAGGGAUAGUUGGGGGCAUUAGUAUUCAAUUGUCAGAGGUGAAAUUCUUGGAUUUAUUGAAGACUAACUACUGCGAAAGCAUUUGCCAAGGAUGUUUUCAUUAAUCAAGAACGAAAGUUAGGGGAUCGAAGACGAUCAGAUACCGUCGUAGUCUUAACCAUAAACUAUGCCGACUAGGGAUCGGAUGAUGUUAAUUUUUU